rnacentral:lncRNA from 1 species
AGUUUUUGAAAGUGGUGAGCAGACGUCAGGACUUGAAGGCCUGCUUGCUCUUUUUCUGUUACUGUCAUAACGUCUUGGACAGAAUCUACCCUAGGAAAACACUGUCAGUGCCUAAAGUACUGUCUUCAACCUUACCAAUGUCAGUGGCGGCGACGGUGGCGUCACCAUCACCAUCAGAGAAAAAGAAAUAUGCCUUUAUGUCAUGAUGGGAAUGAGUGAUGGCCAUCCAGUGACCAGCUGGAUCUGACUGCCUUACAAGACGCAUGUGUAUGAUUAAGAGAGAGACAUUCGUGACUCCCAGAUGUACCUCCUUCCUGUCCCACAGUGUUCCUGAAGGGAGUGAGUUAUGGGGUAACUUAUAACACAGCAGGCUCUUCCUCAAGAUAGCUCUUGUCAAAACAGGAAGACGAAACUCGGGUUUCCAUGAGGAGACCACAGCUUGGGAUCCUGUCUGGAUGUACAAGCAGAAGCAUCUUCAUACUUUUCCAUUUCUAACCAUCAUGCCUCACCCCACCCUCCCAAGGCGACAUCUGCAGAGAGGUGGAACCAUCUAGGGAGGCCUGCCACUGUUUGCUGAGCUCCGGGUGAGGAUGAAGACACUUUGACAUGGCCAGCUUCAGACUCGGGAUCUGUCGGUGUUAGCAGCCGAAGGAGAAUGAGGAGGAAGAGGAGGAGAAAGAGGAGGAGGAAGUAAGACAGAGGGGGACAAGAGGACCAAGAGGGCACAUGGCUGAGGAGGAGGAGAACAACAACAACAACAACAACAACAACAACAACAAGAAGCUUGGUGUUUUCAGGAUGUGUUCCUGAGUCUCGUGAGUAGCACAUGGCAGUUGUUGUCACCUUGGGCUGAGCCGUGAAGAUUCUCACCCUCCCUUGUUGGGGAUGAACUCCGGGAUUCUAAGGAGAGGUCAGCAGGUGUUUCACAGACUGUUCCUGUUGGAGGAUUUGUCUGAUACUCUUCUCCUGAUUAGUCUGGGCUCUACAUUUCCCCAAGGGUGAAACUUGGAAGCCCUCUCCAGGAUGCAGCAGGUAGCUGAGGAGAAAACGAAGACUGACCAGCCCAGAGCUCAGAGCUUCCUCCCAUGCUCAGGAUUUACCACCAAUGCCAUUACAUCGGCCUCUUCUUGUAUGCCUCUGGAAACCACAUGUGUCCUCUGUUUGUAAUGGUUUGGCUAUGGUUGCUGGCCCCUCUUGGACAUUGUUUUCAGAACUUAAAGAAACAUUGCUUUAAAGAUUUAUUAGAACAUAUUUAAAA